rnacentral:rRNA from 1 species
GAGCGGUUCGGCCCUCUGCCGAACGGCUCAGUAACACGUAGAUAAUUCGCCCUUAGGUGGAGGAUACCCUCGGGAAACUGANAAUAAUACUCCAUAGAUUUAGAAUGCUGGAAUGCUUUUAAAUUGAAAGAUUUAUCGCCUAAGGAUAAGUCUGCGGACUAUCAGGUCGUAGCUAGGGUAAAUACCUGACUAGCCUACGACGGAUACGGGUUGUGAGAGCACUAGCCCGGAGAUGAUAUCUGAGACACGAUAUCAGGCCCUACGGGGCGCAGCAGGCGCGAAAACUUCGCACUGUGCGAAAGCACGACGAGGGAAUCCCAAGUGUAUGCACGUAAGUGUAUACUGUUUCUCUGUCUAAAAAGCAGAGAGAGUAAGAGCUGGGUAAGACGGGUGCCAGCCGCCGCGGUAAUACCUGCAGCUCAAGUGGUGAUCGUUAUAUUGGGCCUAAAACGUCCGUAGCCGGUCUUGUAAAUGCCUGGGUAAAUCGUAUGGCUUAACCAUACGAAUUCCGGGGUAGACUGUUAGACUUGAGACCGGGAGAGGCUACAGGUACUCCUGGGGUAAGGUGAAAUUCUGUAAUCCUGUGGGGGACCACCAGUGGGCGAAGGGCGUCUAGCUAGAACGGGUCUGACGGUGACGGGACGA